rnacentral:rRNA from 1 species
UACAGAGGGGGCAAGCGUUGUUCGGAAUCACUGGGCGUAAAGCGCACGUAGGCGGACUCUUAAGUCGGUGGUGAAAUCCUGGAGCUCAACUCCAGAACUGCCUUCGAUACUGGGAGUCUCGAGUUCGGGAGAGGUGAGUGGAACUGCGAGUGUAGAGGUGAAAUUCGUAGAUAUUCGCAAGAACACCAGUGGCGAAGGCGGCUCACUGGCCCGAUACUGACGCUGAGGUGCGAAAGCGUGGGGAGCAAACAGG